rnacentral:tRNA from 1 species
GGAGAGGUGCCAGAGCGGUCGAAUGGAGCACACUGCUAAUGUGUUGAACCUCUAAAGGGUUCCGAGGGUUCGAAUCCCUCCCUCUCCGCCA